rnacentral:lncRNA from 1 species
CCUUCUUGCAGUUGCAUUUACACAAAAUCCCCACUUUCCAUCUCCCUGGUAGUCCACAGCUGUAGCACACCACGGUCUAUUCUUUUCUUCUGUAAUACAUUUAUCAUAGCUCUUCCCUUUGUACUUGAAGGGAAACACACAAAGCUCUCCCUUUUCUGUCACUGGAGGGCACCGAUCACCUCCUGUGUACUGCAAAAUGACUGUUUCAUCUUGGCGGCUAUAAUUCAUUUUCAUUUCCUUUAUGCUUCCAAAGGAUGACACACCACUUCCAGAUGUCAUACACACUGCCCCAUCUUUGCAUUUUCC